GACGAACGCUGGCGGCGCGCUUAACACAUGCAAGUCGAACGGAAAGGCCUGCUUUCCCUUGUGGAUUGCGGGUACUCGAGUGGCGAACGGGUGAGUAACACGUGAGUGAUCUGCCCCCAACUUGGGUAUAAGCCUGGGAAACUGGGUCUAAUUCCCGAUAGGACUGCAGGGUGGUGCCUGUGGUGGAAAACGAUUUUCUAGUGGUUGGGGAUGAGCUCGCGGCCUAUCAGCUUGUUGGUGGGGUAAUGGCCUACCAAGGCGGCGACGGGUAGCCGGCCUGAGAGGGUGGACGGCCACAUUGGGACUGAGAUACGGCCCAGACUCCUACGGGAGGCAGCAGUGGGGAAUAUUGCACAAUGGGCGGAAGCCUGAUGCAGCGACGCCGCGUGGGCGAUGACGGCCUUCGGGUUGUAAACUCCUUUCGACCGCGAGGAAGCCACCUGGUUGGAAGGGUGGUGACGGUAGUGGUAGAAGAAGCACCGGCUAACUACGUG
rnacentral:rRNA from 1 species